CGAGCGGAUGAAGGGAGCUUGCUCUCUGAUUCAGCGGCGGACGGGUGAGUAAUGCCUACGAAUCUGCCUGGUAGUGGGGGACAACGUUUCGAAAGGAACGCUAAUACCGCAUACGUCCUACGGGAGAAAGUGGGGGAUCUUCGGACCUCACGCUAUCAGAUGAGCCUAGGUCGGAUUACCUAGUUGGUGGGGUAAAGGCCUACCAAGGCGACGAUCCGUAACUGGUCUGAGAGGAUGAUCAGUCACACUGGAACUGAGACACGGUCCAGACUCCUACGGGAGGCAUCAGUGGGGAAUAUUGGACAAUGGGCGAAAGCCUGAUCCAGCCAUGCCGCGUGUGUGAAGAAGGUCUUCGGAUUGUAAAGCACUUUAAGUUGGGAGGAAGGGCAGUAAGUUAAUACCUUGCUGUUUUGACGUUACCGACAGAAUAAGCACCGGCUAACUUCGUGCCAGCAGCCGCGGUAAUACGAAGGGUGCAAGCGUUAAUCGGAAUUACUGGGCGUAAAGCGCGCGUA
rnacentral:rRNA from 1 species